rnacentral:piRNA from 1 species
UGCAAAACCCAAAACGUCUUAGCUGUGCUC